rnacentral:snRNA from 1 species
AUAUGUGAGGGCGAUCUGGCUGUGACAUCUGUUACCCCAUUGAUGGCCAGGGUUGACUCGGCUGAUCUGGCUGGCUAGGUGGGUGUCUCCUUCCUCCCUCAACGCUCUAUGUGCGUCCCUCCUGAAGCUGCGCGCUGGGUCGAAGAGGACAACCACCUCCGAUAGAGGAGGACUUUUUCUCAGUUAAGGUUAUACGAGUAGCUGUGCUCCACUGCUAGAACCUCCAAACAAGCUCUCAAGAAUACUAGCAAAAUAAUACCAAGCCAUGAACACAAGCAUGAUUCCCCUAAAACUUGUACAGUAUCUGCAAAUCCCAAACAAACU